ACGGAAGGCAGCAGUCGGGAAUUUUGCGCAAUGGAGGAAACUCUGACGCAGUGACGCCGCGUGCAGGAAGAAGGUUUUAGGAUUGUAAACUGCUUUAGACAGGGAAGAAAAAAGACAGUACCUGUAGAAUAAGCUCCGGCUAACUACGUGCCAGCGGCCGCGGUAAUACGUAGGGAGCAAGCGUUAUCCGGAUUUAUUGGGUGUAAAGGGUGCGUAGACGGGAAAAUAAGUUAGUUGUGAAAUCCCUCGGCUCAACCGAGGAACUGCAACUAAAACUGAAUUUCUUGAGUGCAGGAGAGGAAAGCGGAAUUCCUAGUGUAGCGGUGAAAUGCGUAGAUAUUAGGAGGAACACCAGUGGCGAAGGCGGCUUUCUGGACUGUAACUGACGUUGAGGCACGAAAGUGUGGGGAGCAAACAGGAUUAGAUACCCUGGUA
rnacentral:rRNA from 1 species